CCUACGGGCGACAGCAGUGAGGAAUAUUGGUCAAUGGCCGGAAGGCUGAACCAGCCAUGCCGCGUGAAGGGCAGGGGCCUAGGGGCGGUAAACUUCUUUUGGGCGGGAGCAAGAAUGGUCACGUGGGGCCAGACGAGAGGACCGUACGAAUAAGCAGCGGCGAACUCCGUGCCAGCAGCCGCGGUAAGACGGGGGAUGCAAGCGGUCUCCGGAUUUCUGGGGGGUAAAGGGUGCGUAGGCUGUGAGGGAAGUCAGCGGUGAAAUGCCCCCGCUCAACGGGGUGAAGGGCCAUUGAUACUGCCUUGCUGGACUGCGGCUGCCGUGGGCGGCAUG
rnacentral:rRNA from 1 species